CCUACGGGGGGCAGCAGUGAGGAAUAUUGGUCAAUGGCCGCAGGGCUGAACCAGCCAAGUCGCGUGAGGGAUGACGGUCCUAUGGAUUGUAAACCUCUUUUGUCAGGGAGCAAAGGGCGCCACGUGUGGCGCUUUGCGAGUACCUGACGAAAAAGCAUCGGCUAACUCCGUGCCAGCAGCCGCGGUAAUACGGAGGAUGCGAGCGUUAUCCGGAUUUAUUGGGUUUAAAGGGUGCGCAGGCGGAAUGUCAAGUCAGCGGUAAAAUUUCGGGGCUCAACCCCGUCGUGCCGUUGAAACUGGCGUUCUUGAGUGAGCGAGAAGUAGGCGGAAUGCGUGGUGUAGCGGUGAAAUGCAUAGAUAUCACGCAGAACUCCGAUUGCGAAGGCAGCAUACCGGCGCGCAACUGACGCUCAUGCACGAAAGCGUGGGUAUCGAACAGGAUUAGAUACCCUUGUAGUC
rnacentral:rRNA from 1 species